rnacentral:tRNA from 1 species
UGGGGUGGAGCUUGGUGGUAGAGCGCUUACCUAGCAUGCACAAGGCCCUGGGUUCCAUCCCCAGCACCACAA